UGAUUCACAAAGGGGAGUCCAUUUGGGCUGAGAAUGAGCAAUGCUCUAAACCCUCUGAACCUGUUUCGAUCAUGCGAACGUAGGGAUUGUGAGAGUGACAUAG
rnacentral:ncRNA from 2 species